rnacentral:rRNA from 1 species
UACGGAGGGGGCUAGCGUUGUUCGGAAUUACUGGGCGUAAAGCGCACGUAGGCGGCUUUGCAAGUCAGAGGUGAAAGCCCGGGGCUCAACCCCGGAAUUGCCUUUGAGACUGCAUCGCUAGAAUUGUGGAGAGGUAAGUGGAAUUCCGGGUGUAGCGGUGGAAUGCGUAGAGAUCCGGAAGAACACCGGUGGCGAAGGCGGCCUGCUGGGCAGUAGCUGACGCUGAGGCGUGACAGCGUGGGGAGCAAACAGG